rnacentral:rRNA from 1 species
GUGCCAGCAGCCGCGGUAAUACGUAGGGGGCAAGCGUUAUCCGGAUUUACUGGGUGUGAAGGGAGCGCAGACGGCCAAGCAAGUCUGAAGUGAAAUGCAUGGGCUCAACCCAUGAAUUGCUUUGGAAACUGUUAGGCUUGAGUGUCGGAGAGGUAAGCGGAAUUCCUAGUGUAGCGGUGAAAUGCGUAGAUAUUAGGAGGAACACCGGAGGCGAAGGCGGCUUACUGGACGACAACUGACGUUGAGGCUCGAAGGCGUGGGGAGCAAACAGGAU